GUCAAUGAUAUAAUCGACUACUUUAUGAACAUUUGGAAUGUCUUCUAGUGCUAUGUCACACAAACUAUUGUACGCGUCUCCUAUAGAAAUAAAUCUAAUUGUAGCUCUCUUAAAGUAAUAUCUUCCAUAUUGAGUUAUAAAAGUUGUUAAUUUCUGGCUUUCUUCUUUUUCAUCUGCAAAUAACCAUGUACUGCGUGAAAUUUUGUGAAAAACUGGGAAUUUGGGUUGAUUUCGGAAACCAUUUCUUUUUGAGUUUGCAUAGGAUGAACUAAUCUCUUAAUCCGUGAGCUUAACUUGGGAAUACUUAAUUCUGGCUGAAGAUGGUUCUAUUUUGGGUUUUCUUGAGUAAUCCAAGCUCGGAAAAUACCUGUGAUGGAAUAUUUAUUUGCAUAGUUACGCGUUUCUUCUUUUCCAAAUCUUGAAACACUGAAGUCCCUUACAAUGAUGUUGGAAGUUGCUCCUCUUUGGGUCUCAUUUUUAAGAACAUUUCCAUAUGACUUUCUUGACGAUGUAUGGACUGACUUAAUUAAUUAUUUAGAUCCAAAAACGUCAAGGGAUACCUUUAUAAAAUUUUCUCAUGCAAGUAUAUAAUUUUUUGUGAAAUUAUUUUUUUAUCUAUUAGAGGGUCGACCCCUCUGCAAGGAUUACUCUCCUUACCCUUAAUUGUCCAUGUAAAAUAAAGUUUAUGUUCUUUAC
rnacentral:lncRNA from 1 species